UACGUAGGGGGCAAGCGUUGUUCGGAAUUACUGGGCGUAAAGGGCGCGUAGGCGGUUUGUUAAGUUGGAUGUGAAAACUCUGGGCUUAACCCAGAGCCUGCAUCCAAAACUGGCAGGCUAGAGUUUUGGAGGGGGAAGCGGAAUUCCGUGGUGUAGCAGUGAAAUGCGUAGAUAUCAGGAGGAACACCGGUGGCGAAGGCGGCUUCCGUGGACAAAAACUGACGCUGAGGCGCGAAAGCUAGGGGAGCAAACAGG
rnacentral:rRNA from 1 species